UUGGCUGCUAGAUAUGGGUGGUCCGAAGACCAGGACCUAGGUACUACUCAUGCUCAUGAUUCCCAUGUGUGGCGUGAUAUCGCCAAGGGGAUCCCCCUCUUUCGGAGCUUAACGCAAGUGGACGUCGGCAACGGCACUUCCACUGCCUUCUGGCUUGAUCUCUGGGUUCCGCGCUCUACAGAUAUUCUCGCUUCACGGUACCCUGCUCUGUUCUCUCAUGUUCUCCGACCCUCGGCUUCUGUUGCCAGGGUUCUAAGCUCACCGGAUCUGUGCCUCGAUCUCGCUCCACGCCUAACUAAUGCUGCUGAACUUGAACUGGGCUGCCUACGCAACUUGCUGGCUUCUGUUUCCUUGAAUUUGCAGGAACUAGACCGCCGAACAGGUCGAUUUGAUGGCAAGCCGCUGACUUGCAACGCGGCAUACAAGGCUAUGUGGGAGGGAGAGCCUGUCGAUCCCUUGGCAAUGGCCAUCUGGAAGAAUUUCGCUCCAAACAAAUGUAGAAUUUUCCUCUGGCUGGCAAACAAGAAUCGUCUCUUCACCAACGAACGGCGUUUUCGUCGAGGCAUCGCUACUUCUCCGGCUUGCCCUCUCUGUCCGGGGACAGAGUCCGUAAACCACCUGCUUCUGCACUGCCCGGAGCUCACUACUCUGUGGAGAGAACUCUCCUCUCUCACUCCAGAUAUUCCCGCAGAUCUUUCGGAUCUUUGGGCCAACGACAUGCAGAAUAAAGUUCACUCUACAAUAAUCAUCGCCAUCCUUUGGAACAUUUGGAAAAGAAGGAAUGCAAAAGUCUUCAGGGACGACACUCAACCGGUUCACCUCAUCGCUCGUUCUGCCGCUGAUGAUGUUCUGCUUUGGUCUAGCAGAUGUACUAAUGAGCAAGCGCAAGNNNNNNNNNNCCGGAUCUGUGCCUCGAUCUCGCUCCACGCCUAA
rnacentral:rRNA from 1 species